rnacentral:rRNA from 1 species
AGUGAACGCUGGCGGUAGGCCUAACACAUGCAAGUCGAACGGCAGCACAGUAAGUUCUUGCUCUUACGGGUGGCGAGUGGCGGACGUGUGACGUAUACAUCUUACUCUACUUUUUCGUGUGGGUUAACGUAGCUAAACUUACUCUAAUACCGCAUACGCCCUUCGGUUGAAAGCAUUGGAUCUUCUCACCUUUCGCGUUUGAAUGCGCCGAUUUCGGAUUAGAUAGUUGGCGGGGUAAAGGCCCACCAUGUCGCCGGUCCGUGGCUGGUCUGGGAGGAUGAUAGGCGACACUGGAAGGGGGACACGGACAAGAGGCCUGCGGGAGGCAGCAGAGGGGAAUAUGGGGCAACGGGGGCAAGCCUGAUACAGCCAUACCGCGUGGGUGAAGAAGACCUUGGGGUUGUAAAGCCCGUUUGUGGGGAAAGAAAAGCAGCAGGUUAAGACCAAGCUGUAGUGACGGUACCGAAAGAAUAAGCACCGGCUAACUUCGUG